UUCCAAUUGUUUUGUUAUUCAUGAAUUACUGUUAAUUUGUCCUGGUUGUGGUUAUUAGGUUAGCUUUCAUUGUCUUUUUAGUGUAUUCAUCAACUAAAUAGAUCUGCUGGGGCUGUUUACUGUUUGUGAAAUAUCUUAAGUAAUGACCAUGAGCUUUUUGAAAACUUAUUUCAUUAUUAACAAUAAUUUCUUUGUCCUUUUUCUUGGGUUUUUUUUGGUAGCGCUUUGAAGGCUCAAUAGACCUUAGGCUACAAGAUGGAGAGUUGCCCUAACUCAUCCUUAUAUCCCUUUCCCAUCAGAUUUGAGUAUGGGAUUUCCUAAUUAGAAUUCCUAAGUUCAUUUUAUUCUGCAAGUCUUGAGGGCAAGUGUCAAACUGUUGAAUAAAUGCCCAUGAAAAGAAGGGGGAAAAAAUUCUAUACAUUAUCAACUUGUCGACGUUUUUUCCAUCAAGUAAUAUAAUUUGAUUAAAUUUGUUUGACAAUUUAAGUUCACUUGAAGUUAGUGCCUUCUUGGUAAAGUUUUUGUUGGUUCCUUUUGUUUAA
rnacentral:misc_RNA from 1 species